rnacentral:rRNA from 1 species
UACGAAGGUCCCAAGCGUUAUGCGGAUUUAUUGGGUUUAAAGGGUGCGUAGGCGGGUUGUUAAGUCGGUGGUGAAAGCUCCCAGCUCAACUGGGAAACUGCCAUUGAUACUGAUAGUCUUGAGUAUGAUUGAAGUGGGCGGAAUGUGUCAUGUAGCGGUGAAAUGCUUAGAUAUGACACAGAACACCGAUUGCGAAGGCAGCUCACUAAGCCAUAACUGACGCUGAUGCACGAAAGCGUGGGGAGCAAACAGG